GGAUUAGAUACCCUGGUAGUCCACGCCGUAAACGAUGAGAACUAGACGUUAGAAGGUUUGCCUUUUAGUGUCGUAGCUAACGCGUUAAGUUCUCCGCCUGGGGAGUACGGCCGCAAGGCUAAAACUCAAAGGAAUUGACGGGGGCCCGCACAAGCGGUGGAGCAUGUGGUUUAAUUCGAUGCAACGCGAAGAACCUUACCUACCCUUGAAAUCCUCGGAAUCUUCUAGAGAUAGAAGAGUGCCUUCGGGAACCGAGUGACAGGUGCUGCAUGGCUGUCGUCAGCUCGUGCUG
rnacentral:rRNA from 1 species